AGCUUUGCGCAGUGGCAGUAUUGUAGCCAAUGAGGUUUAUCCAAGGCACAGUUAUUACUAAUUGAAACCAUAUUCAGAGUAGCCUUUUUAUUGGCUAGUGCAUUAUGUGACUGCUAUGUCUCACCUCAUGCUCAGACAUGCUACUAAUAUAUUUAUUUUUGCUUGUAGAUUAGAUUA
ensembl:snRNA U4 U4 spliceosomal RNA